CGCAGAUAACAGUGGAAGUGUCUUGCUUUGUUCGUGUGUCGUUUUUCAAUUUUUCUAGUUGAAUUGUGCAAGUCAAUAUAGUGUGCGUCGUAGGCUAGAUUUGUGUGCUUAAAAUCGAUCUAGGCCAGCCGACGGCUAUAUUUCCUUCCACGCGCCAGGUCAGCGGAAUCCCCCGGACGAAAGACCCCGGCAACCGUCAUCUUGUCC